rnacentral:rRNA from 1 species
GAUGAACGCUGACAGAAUGCUUAACACAUGCAAGUCAACUUGAACUUCGGUUUGGGUGGCGGACGGGUGAGUAACGCGUAAAGAACUUGCCUCACAGUUAGGGACAACAUUUGGAAACGAAUGCUAAUACCUGAUAUUAUGAUUUUAGGGCAUCCUAGAAUUAUGAAAGCUAUAUGCGCUGUGAGAGAGCUUUGCGUCCCAUUAGCUAGUUGGAGAGGUAACGGCUCACCAAGGCGAUGAUGGGUAGCCGGCCUGAGAGGGUGAACGGCCACAAGGGGACUGAGACACGGCCCUUACUCCUACGGGAGGCAGCAGUGGGGAAUAUUGGACAAUGGACCGAGAGUCUGAUCCAGCAAUUCUGUGUGCACGAUGAAGUUUUUCGGAAUGUAAAGUGCUUUCAGUUGGGAAGAAAAAAAUGACGGUACCAACAGAAGAAGUGACGGCUAAAUACGUG